GUUCUCUCUUUCCGGACCUGGCCGAGCAGGAGGCGCCAUCAUGGGAGUGGACAUCCGCCACAACAAGGACCGAAAGGUUCGGCGCAAGGAGCCCAAGAGCCAGGAUAUCUACCUGAGGCUGUUGGUUAAGUUAUACAGGUUUCUGGCCAGAAGAACCAACUCCACAUUCAACCAGGUUGUGUUGAAGAGGUUGUUUAUGAGUCGCACCAACCGGCCGCCUCUGUCCCUUUCCCGGAUGAUCCGGAAGAUGAAGCUUCCUGGCCGGGAAAACAAGACGGCCGUGGUUGUGGGAACCAUAACUGAUGAUGUGCGGGUUCAAGAGGUGCCCAAACUGAAGGUGAGCUGGCAGGGGCUGGGCAGACCCAUCAGAUCCUUGCUUUGCUGUGCUGGUCCAUCCUCAGUCUUGCCAUCGCUGGUGAGGCAAGCAUCCUGCCUGUCUGAGUGGCUUUGAGGAUUGGUGUGGGUCGUCUCUGGCAUGGUUGAUGGUGGGGUCCCCUGGGCAAGCUUUUUCUGGGGCAAGUUGUAAACUGUUAGUGCUGGCCCCUAGAGCCAGACAGCCUGGGCUCAAGUCUAGACUCCUUUGUCACCUCUGCACAAGUCUUUUUUUGGCCCAGCUUCCUUGCUGUAGUUUCUAGCAUAACACCAGGGAUGUGGUGGUAAAAGUUCCUAGAGAGAAAGUGUUGAGAACAGCUGCUGUCAGCCCAGGGUGCUCCGGGUAGUAAACGAUAGUGUUGGUUACCAGGGCUCUGCUGCGCCAAGGCAGUGGAGGGUGAGUCCUGGCAACCCCUGGGUGACCACACAGGGGUCUGACCUGCCAGCCUUGUCCUCUCCACCAGGUAUGUGCACUACGCGUGACCAGCCGGGCCCGCAGCCGCAUCCUCAGGGCAGGGGGCAAGAUCCUCACUUUCGACCAGCUGGCCCUGGACUCCCCUAAGGGCUGCGGCACUGUCCUGCUCUCCGGUGAGUGAUACGUGGUCGACGGGUUUGGAGUGAGCUGUGUGGCUACUGGCAGCCUUCACCCUCCUGGAUCUGGGAUGCCAGAAGCUGGGCGCCAGAU
rnacentral:sRNA from 1 species